rnacentral:rRNA from 1 species
CAGUCGCCGCGGUAAUACGGAGGGUGCAAGCGUUAAUCGGAAUUACUGGGCGUAAAGCGCACGCAGGCGGUCUGACAAGUCAGAUGUGAAAUCCCCGGGCUUAACCUGGGAACUGCAUUUGAAACUGUCAGGCUGGAGUCUUGUAGAGGGGGGUGGAAUUCCAGGUGUAGCGGUGAAAUGCGUAGAGAUCUGGAGGAAUACCGGUGGCGAAGGCGGCCCCCUGGACAAAGACUGACACUCAGGUGCGAAAGCGUGGGGAGCAAACAGGAUUAGAUACCCCUGUAGUCCCUGUCUCUUAUAC